CAGUGAGACUGUAUGUAUGUAUGUUUGUCAGUGUGUGUGUAUGUGUGUUUGUCAGUGAGAGUGUAUAUGUGUUUGUCAGUGAUUUUGUAUAUGUUCUUGUCAGUGAGAGUGUAUGCGUGUUUGUCAGUGAGUGAGUAUGUGUGUUUGUCAGUGAGAGUGUAUGUGUGUUUGUCAGUGAGUGUGUGUAUGUGUUUGUCAGUGAGAGUGUAUAUGUUUGUUUGUAAUUGAGUUUGUACGUGUGUCUGUCAGUGAGUUAGUUUGUGUGUCUCUCAGUAAGAGUGUAUAUGUGUUUGUCAGUGAGUGUGUAUGUGUGUUUGUCAGUGAGACUGUAUGUAUGUUUGUCAGUGAGUGUGUAUGUGUGUUUG